UUGCUCUCAUCCCCUGCUCAGGAGGCUGCUAGAAGGCCAUUGGAGCUCGGGAGAAAUCUGUCUUCACCUCCAGCUACAGAGGCCGGAGGAAAGGGCUGCUCUCCAGGGCCCGUGCGCUGGAGAAGAGCAUUAGUGCAGACGGGUUUCUUUUAUUUGCACUGCAUCACAGAGGCUGUUUGAACAGUGCCCAUUUAGGACUGAAACAGUGCUGCUUUAUGGUUAUAUCCAAGGAAAAUACGCACCCUGAUAGAUGUAGGUGUCUAAUCCACCCAUCGGGCUAGAGCUUAGAAAAAUAUUUACCUUUUAACAUCUGUGCUGCAUUUUCCACUGCGCAAACACACAUCUGCUUGAUGGAAUGUCUGCAGAGUUUAGAUGGGUUUAAAGCAAGUUUUCUUAGUAACCAUAUAGCUCUGUCUUGACACGGGCAGUCCUGGAUUUGUGGUUGGGAGGUUUUUCUCAGAUCAGCUCAUUGUUUGAAACAAAUAGCUCUCGAGUUUAUAAAAGGAAGAGCUGGAGGCAAUCCCAGUAAUUGGAUCUUUAAUAAACCCCUCACCUCUUAGUAAGCCAUUCGGUGCAACAGUUUUAGAAUUUUCAGCCCGAUUCCACAGCCUGUGGGUUUCGGGCUGGGGGAGGGCUGGGGUGUGUGACAAAACUGUCAUCAGGAAGCCCUUCAGAGCGAUACUGAGGCGGAGCUGGGCCAGUGAUAUCAGCGAGCUGAUUCUUCCCACACCUCCAAGGGCGUCGAGUGGAGUUCACCAUGGUGCGGGCCAAGGGGCUGUGAGCUUCUAUACACCGUCCCCUGCCCCCUGAACCAGACUCCUUUGCCUCACAGGCUCCAGAGGGGGAAGCCAGGCAGAUGAGGCCGCUGGUGCAUCCAGGCAUUAAUUAACCCCCCAUCUCUUUCUGGGCCAAUGGCGCAGCAAGGGACCUCACGUCCUCCCUUGUUAAGCCCUAUGAACCCAUCUUUGAGCAACUCUUUUAAAGCUUGCACAAGUCAAUUCCAGAGAAGACAUGUUAGCCCUGGUUUUUUUUCCCUCUCGAAGCCAUGUUCUUGAAUGCAACGAAGCCCUUAAAGAAUAGUGUUAUACAUGCAUGAAUGCAUCCAACAGUGACGUUAUCUUCCAAACACUGAAAAGUCCAAUUUCUAUUCUCAGCCAAGUUCAAACAACAAAUAUUUACCGGAUUCCUACUAUGCACCAAGCAUGGUGCAAGUCUAGGGAGGAAAGAAGCCUCUGGGUCUCAGCCGAAGCGUGAGAGGGCCCUCAGCCCCAGACUUUGCAGCAACAUCCUCCAUGCUGAAAGUCAAGGUGGGAUUAAUUGAGAGCUGCCUAAACUCCCCUCUACUGGUAGUGCUGUUCACUCUACAACUCCAUCUUGCCAGUUUUCAGUAUACAGAAUAUGCCGAUGAAAAGUACAUGUGAAAAUUUACCUAGAAAAUUCUUUGGGGCUGCUAUUGCCUGUGCUUGAAAUAGAGAGGCCAUGAGUUUUGGGGGGUACCCACGGCAGAGCAUGGACAAUUUGAUCUGGGUUUCUCUCCACCAUCCUUCCCCCUCCCCUUUCUCUUUCUUGUUCGCCCCCUCCUCACCCCUUCUCCUUUCCUUCCAGUGCCCUGGAAGGCUCUAAGCGGUAGGCCACUGAAGGCCAGCAUAGUGUGGUGUGCGGGGUGGGUAGGGAAGAGACAGAAGAAACAGAACUGUACCAAAUUAGGCCCCAUUCCGUUUCAACGACAGGCCCAAGUGAGAUACGUUACCUCUUCUGCUGCUUGCUGGUCCCGCAAGGCAAUCACAUUCCUAAUGAGUUUGUUAAAAAAGCCA